UUAAUUUCUAGAUGCUUGACAUUCAUUGAACAUUUGAUUUGCUUGUUUCAUCUUCCAAUUUGCUCAUGCAUCAGUUGGAUGAAUAUUGAUUAUAUUAGGUUCAUUAUCCUCUAUCACAUUACUAUUUAAACCUUCUCCUAGCUCCACUUCAAUAUGAUCAAAACUCAUUUCAAUUCAAAUAAAAUUAUGAAACAAACAACAAGCAAUAAUGAUUCAAUUGUGCACUCUCA
rnacentral:lncRNA from 1 species